GCUGCGGCGAAAGGAAUCAGAAUCACAUCAAUAUAUCUAUUAUUAAACUAUUAAUAAACAUGACAGCCGCCCACAUAUCGACAUGCCACCCAUUCAGAUGUAUCGAGGAACAGGAAAAAACCAAAGUCCAGCGCAGGGCAGCACUUCCAUUUAGCGAUUUAUUAGAAAACUAUCGAUGCCACUAUCGAGCGCUUGGAUGGCGGCCGUUAAGGAUAUCGAUCUCUCGGCAACCCACCCGUAUGUUGUUAUACCCUUCGAGUUCAAUUUGUACAGUAUUUAUUUAUUUAUUGCGUUUUAUAAUUAGCAAUCGUAUUUAACUGCAAAAACUAGUUAAGCUUGGUUGAAUUUGGGAACAUUUUUGGUAUUUAAAAUUCAUGUUGUAUGCAAAAAAAUUGUAUGUAUGACACGUGAUGAAAUAUUAUCUAGUCAAAUUUCGUUCGCUAUGGCUA